rnacentral:rRNA from 1 species
GAUGAACGCUGGCGGCGUGCCUAAUACAUGCAAGUCGAGCGAACGGACGAGAAGCUUGCUUCUCUGAUGUUAGCGGCGGACGGGUGAGUAACACGUGGAUAACCUACCUAUAAGACUGGGAUAACUUCGGGAAACCGGAGCUAAUACCGGAUAAUAUUUUGAACCGCAUGGUUCAAAAGUGAAAGACGGUCUUGCUGUCACUUAUAGAUGGAUCUGCGCUGCAUUAGCUAGUUGGUAAGGUAACGGCUUACCAAGGCAACGAUGCAUAGCCGACCUGAGAGGGUGAUCGGCCACACUGGAGCUGAGACACGGUCCAGACUCCUACGGGAGGCAGCAGUAGGGAAUCUUCCGCAAUGGGCGAAAGCCUGACGGAGCAACACCGCGUGAGUGAUGAAGGUCUUCGGAUCGUAAAACUCUGUUAUUAGGGAAGAACAUAUGUGUAAGUAACUGUGCACAUCUUGACGGUACCUAAUCAGAAAGCCACGGCUAACUACGUG